GACAUACCUUGAGUGGGAAAUAGUCCUUUAGCCUUAUUAUAUAUCCAAAUGAAUAAGAUGGUGUUAUUUUCCCUUUGCAGCCAUCACCAAUUAAGGAGGCUACACUAUGGUAUACGGACAUGGUUGCCUAUACAAGUAUGUUGGAUCCACAGUCCUCCUCAUCCUCCUCGGCACCAUUAUCGCUAAGAGAUAAAGUAUCUCGGAUAAUACCACCUGUUGAUAUACAGGCCACUAGUCCUGAGACACCUAACAAGGGUACUCACGAUGGUGUUGGGAGAGCCUCACCCAUUGAUCCUUCGAUUCCAUCACGUCUCUCACAUGAGGGUACUGCCAUGAGGGGGUUUCGGUUGGCCUUUCGAUUGCAUUACCUCCCCCCUUUGAGGGUACUGCCAUGAAAGAGUUUCGUUUUACCCUUCAAUUGUAUCGCCUCCCCCAUCUGAGGUACUGGCCAUGUGAGGGUUUCAAUUAGCCCUUUGGUUGUAUCACCUUCCCUUUCCAAGGGUACCGCCUAUGAGGGCAUUUAAGUUGACCUUUCGAUUAUAUCACCUCUCUCACCUGAGGUACUAGCCAUGAAGGGGUAUUGAUUGAAAGUUCUCCCCGUACACCUUCUCCGAUUGUGGAGUUGUGGUUAAUUGUUAAGAUCCCCAGCUCGAGUAAAAGGGUCAUUAAAUUUAGUUCACAGGGAGACGAGUUACUGGAGGUUAUUUCACAAGGAGAGUAGGAUGAGUUGGUGUAGAUUGCUCAUGAUAAGGUCAUCCAAAAGGUUUUGCUUGUUCGUAUUUCAUAUAUAAAUCCAAUUAAACUGAAGGUAAAUUGGCAGAUUUGGACUAUUCCAUCAUCUGCUACAUAGCAUGAGGAUUCUUUCCUCAUGUGGUACACUAAAGCUAUAACAUCCAACAACCAUAAGGUUUAUUGCAUUGGAGAGUAGUCUAAAGCCACUUUUUAAAGGAUUGUUAUUGAGCUAUGCGAGUGGCUGAUUGACGAUAGUUGGACAAUGGCCCAUACCUUUUUUGUGGAGCAUAUCGAGAUGACAAUUUACAGUUAGAGUAUCAUGUCGCCAGAGGAGUAUGAGUGGCUCAAGCUAUUCAAAAAGAUGGUGGAAGUGGAUUACACCCCCGAUUUGUUUUACAAACCAUGAAGGUAGAACACAUGUAUCCAUUAUAAUUUCUCAAUGUUUAUACGUUUUCAUCUCUAUAAACUUUGAUUGUGCCUAUUGGGUCAUUGAUU